AACUGUGGUAAUUCUAGAGCUAAUACAUGCUAAAAACCCCAACUUCGGGAGGGGUGUAUUUAUUAGAUAAAAAACCAAUGCCCUUCGGGGCUCCUUGGUGAUUCAUGAUAACUAAACGAAUCGCAUGGCCUUGCGCCGGCGAUGGUUCAUUCAAAUUUCUGCCCUAUCAACUUUCGAUGGUAAGGUAGUGGCUUACCAUGGUUUCAACGGGUAACGGGGAAUUAGGGUUCUAUUCCGGAGAGGGAGCCUGAGAAACGGCUACCACAUCCAAGGAAGGCAGCAGGCGCGCAAAUUACCCAAUCCCAAUACGGGGAGGUAGUGACAAUAAAUACUGAUACGGGGCUCUUUCGGGUCUCGUAAUUGGAAUGAGUACAAUCUAAAUCCCUUAACGAGGAACAAUUGGAGGGCAAGUCUGGUGCCAGCAGCCGCGGUAAUUCCAGCUCCAAUAGCGUAUAUUAAAGUUGUUGCCGUUAAAAAGCUCGUAGUUGAACCUUGGACCUGGCUGAUCUGUCCUCCUAAUCGAGCGUACGGAUUCGGUCGGGUCUUUCCUUCUGGGGAACCCUAUGUCCUUUAUUGGGUGUAGCGGGGAACCAGGACUUUUACCUUGAAAAAAUUAGAGUGUUCAAAGCAGGCCUUUGCUCGAAUACAUUAGCAUGGAAUAAUAGAAUAGGACAUCGGUUCUAUUUUGUUGGUUUCUAGGACCGCUGUAAUGAUUAAUAGGGAUAGUCGGGGGCGUCCGUAUUCAAUUGUCAGAGGUGAAAUUCUUGGAUUUAUUGAAGACGAACUACUGCGAAAGCAUUCGCCAAGGAUGUUUUCAUUAAUCAGUGAACGAAAGUUAGGGGAUCGAAGACGAUCAGAUACCGUCGUAGUCUUAACCAUAAACUAUGCCGACUAGGGAUCGGACGGUGGUUUUUUUAUGCCCCGUUCGGCACCUUA
rnacentral:rRNA from 1 species